rnacentral:lncRNA from 1 species
GUAGUGCCUCCACUUUCAAUGAACUUAAAGGUCCAUCCCUGACCAACCUGGAAAUUCUGUUUUGAUUUAUAUGACCCAAACGCAAGUGCCAUAAAUAUGUUUCACUCAAUUCAGAAGAGCGUUUUCUCUUACUUGGUAAAUCGACAUUAUUUAGUUCUUUAGGUGCUAACGGUUUAGGAAUAGAGUCAACAACAAAAAGACCAUUAAUCAAUGUAGCCGAAGAGAGAUA